AAAAAUAAUGAAGUGUCAGAUACGCAGGGGCUGUGAUUAAAGGCCUUGCUUGGGCUUUGAAUGUGGUCAAGGGAAGAGGUGAAUCAUGUCUCAAAUCCUUCCCUUGCCUUCUGUAAUGGGGGUGCAUGGUGUGAAGGAAAAAAAGCCAGGGUGUGUGCAUCUCUUGACAGACAUCUGAAAUAGAUCAGGAUCCUGUUGCAGGCUGGAGGGUUUCCUCAGAACCCCUCUCUUCAUCCCCAAAGCUGUAAUUGCCAAAAUAGGUUAUCAGAAUUUCAGCGUAUGCGAGUAUCUCACUAAUGCUCAUUUGCUGACUUUAAUGAGUUCCAGAACCAAUCUGUGAUCUUACAGUCAGCUCAGGUUUAUCACCAAAAGAAAGUCCGUAAGUCUGGUGUGGGAGGUCAGCUCAGCAGAACACAGCAGGGAGACAUUGAUGUGAAAAUGAAUUUAAAUGAAUUCUGGUGGACAUUGUAAGGCUUCACAGUCCUUUAAUACCAUUAAGCACAAAAAUGUUUGGUGUCGGAUGUCCUGAUGAGCUCGGCUCUUGUAUAAUACCUGUCUUGAAAACCACACGCAACUAUCCUUUUGUUCUCUCUUCAAAUUUCACAGCUUCCUCUAGUCUACCGAAAAAGGGAAACUCGUAUCUCCAAGCUG
rnacentral:lncRNA from 1 species